ACGUAGGGUGCAAGCGUUAAUCGGAAUUACUGGGCGUAAAGCGUGCGCAGGCGGUUUGGAAAGACAGAUGUGAAAUCCCAGGGCUCAACCUUGGAACUGCAUCCUAAACUGGCAAACUUGAGUAUGGUAGAGGGGGGUAGAAUUCCGCGUGUAGCGGUGAAAUGCGUAGAGAUCUGGAGGAAUACCGGUGGCGAAGGCGGCCCCCUGGAAUAAGACUGACGCUCAGGCGCGAAAGCGUGGGGAGCAAACAG
rnacentral:rRNA from 1 species